AGGAUGCAAACCGUAGAGGACCCGUGCUCCGGCCAAAAGCUAAAGUCACUUUCAGUUUCAGAGACCUUGUUCCCUGGCUGGAGAGAGAGGAGCCCAUAGGCGAGCUUUUGUUUGUUUGGGGAGCCGUUUGGGUGACGGUGUUGGGCUCCAGAUCUCAAUUUUUACAUGCAUCGGGCGUGCAAACAAUGGGCUCGUACUCUCAGGCCCCACC
rnacentral:lncRNA from 1 species